UACGAAGGGGGCUAGCGUUGCUCGGAAUCACUGGGCGUAAAGGGUGCGUAGGCGGGUCUUUAAGUCAGGGGUGAAAUCCUGGAGCUCAACUCCAGAACUGCCUUUGAUACUGAGGAUCUUGAGUACGGGAGAGGUGAGUGGAACUGCGAGUGUAGAGGUGAAAUUCGUAGAUAUUCGGAAGAACACCAGUGGCGAAGGCGACUCACUGGACACGUAUUGACGCUGAGGUGCGAAAGCGUGGGGAGCAAACAGG
rnacentral:rRNA from 1 species